AUGAUGAACCGCAGCCACACCGUCGGCCGCCGCGACUACGUCCUCCUCUCCACAUGUGGGCACAGCGAACUGGCGGAUGACAACAGCACCACCGCGUACACCUUCACGGAAGCAACAAAGACAAUCAAGGUGACCGUCGCCGACCUGCCGUCGCUCUUCUACUUCCACGUCAGCUGCCCCGACCUCCAGGACGACCCCUUCAGCAAGAGGCCGGAGAUCCUCUGGUCGUCGGAGGACCUCGUCCUCUUCCGCGUCGACCUCGCCGGCCCCCACCCACGCCGACGGGAGUUCUUCAUCUACCGGGCCGGGUGCGAGCCGUCGCUCGAUCUGCUCCCCGACGUCAGUGCGUAUUUCUUCAAGGAGGGACUCAAUCUAGCCCUCGCCGGCGUCAUACCCGACGAUGACGACGACGACGACGACGACAGCAGGGGCUUUGUCCUGGCCGUCUUCAAGAGGGACUGGAGGUCGGGGCAGUGCAAGCUCCACGUCUUCAGGUCCAAGCGUCUGCUCGCCGGUUUCUGCGUACCUGGAGCGGCAUGCUACGUCGAUCACUGGGAGGGGAUUCUGCUCUGCAAAAUGCUCGAAGAACCGAUGACGGCGCACUUCAUCGCACUGCCGAACCCGCUGCCCGGCAACCGACGACACUACGACGGAGGGUCGUCAGGACGGUCGAUACGUGACGUCGCCUGCACCGACGACGGUUCGACGAUAACAUGCGUGGAGAUGGAAGAUUUACACCGCAUCAUCAGAAGCGGCGCUCCUGGCCCUGACUCCGACGUGCUCCAUGACUCCGACGCGACCAAGGUGGCGACGGUGGCUGCGUGCUCGCGGCCAGCGCCGACGGCCGGCGCACUCACCGCAGCUCAAGCCGACCUCCCCCACGACAGCACCGUCCUCUCCCCCGGCCCCAACCACCUCCCGCCGCCCCACCCCCACCGUAGAGCUGUUGCUGCUCAUGGCCCGGCCGGCGCAGAGGAGGCGCGGUGGCCGGGGAUGGCCUGGCUGGCCGAGAUGCGGGCGUGGCCGCCACGACGGCUCGACCUCGACCCACGCUCUUCGGCGCACUACUCGAGCAGGUCCAAGGCGAGGCGCGCAUGA
rnacentral:rRNA from 1 species